GGUUCAGUGGUCUAGUGGUUAUGAUUUGUGUCUCACAACCGUAAGGUUUCGCACACAAGGUCCCCAGUUCGAUCCUGGGCUGAACCA